rnacentral:tRNA from 1 species
GCCCAGUUAGCUCAGUUGGUAGAGCAAGGGACUGAAAAUCCCUGUGUCCUUGGUUCGAUUCCGAGACUGGGCACCA